GCGGGCGUAAUUCAGUGGUAGAAUGUCAGCUUCCCAUGCUGAACGUCGUGGGUUCGAGUCCCACCGUCCGCUUCA
rnacentral:tRNA from 1 species